rnacentral:rRNA from 1 species
UACGUAGGUGGCAAGCGUUGUCCGGAUUUACUGGGCGUAAAGGGUGCGUAGGCGGAUGUUUAAGUGAGAUGUGAAAUACCCGAGCUCAACUUGGGUGCUGCAUUUCAAACUGGAUAUCUAGAGUGCGGGAGAGGAAAGCGGAAUUCCUAGUGUAGCGGUGAAAUGCGUAGAGAUUAGGAAGAACACCAGUGGCGAAGGCGGCUUUCUGGACUGUAACUGACGCUGAGGCACGAAAGCGUGGGGAGCAAACAGG